GAUGAACGCUGGCGGUAUGCCUAACACAUGCAAGUCGUACGAGGGUUUUUAACUCUAGUGGCGGACGGGUGAGUAACACGUGAGAAUUUGCCUUUAGGAGGGGGAUAACAAUCGGAAACGAAUGCUAAUACCCCAUAUGCUUUUGAGUGAAACGGAUUUAUCCGCCUAAAGAGAAGCUCGCGGCUGAUUAGCUUGUUGGUAAGGUAAGAGCUUACCAAGGCGACGAUCAGUAUCUGGUUUGAGAGGACGAUCAGACACACUGGAACUGAGACACGGUCCAGACUCCUACGGGAGGCAGCAGUGGGGAAUUUUCCGCAAUGGGCGAAAGCCUGACGGAGCAAUACCG
rnacentral:rRNA from 1 species